rnacentral:rRNA from 1 species
UACGUAGGGGGCGAGCGUUGUCCGGAAUCAUUGGGCGUAAAGCGCGUGUAGGCGGCUCGAUAAGUCUGCUGUGAAAGUCCAGGGCUCAACCCUGGAAUGCCGGUGGAAACUGUCGAGCUUGAGUCCGGAAGAGGCGAGUGGAAUUCCUGGUGUAGCGGUGAAAUGCGUUGAUAUCAGGAGGAACACCCAUGGCGAAGGCAGCUAACUGGGCAUUAUCUGACGCUGGAGGCGCGAAAGCGUGGGUAGCAAACAGG